rnacentral:rRNA from 1 species
CAGCGAGAUACGAGCGGCAGCCCAGCAGCCCGAGUGAACGCUCCUUCGACGAGUCGAGUUGUUUGGGAAUGCAGCUCUAAAUGGGUGGUAAAUUUCAUCUAAAGCUAAAUACUGGCCGGAGACCGAUAGCGCACAAGUAGAGUGAUCGAAAGAUGAAAAGCACUUUGAAAAGAGAGUUAAAAAGCACGUGAAAUUGUUGAAAGGGAAGCGCUUGCGACCAGACUCGCCUCCAGGGUUCAGCCGGCAUUCGUGCCGGUGUACUUCCCUGGGGGCGGGCCAGCGUCGGUUUGGGCGGCCGGUCAAAGGCUCCCGGAAUGUAGUGCCCUCCGGGGCACCUUAUAGCCGGGAGUGCAAUGCGGCCAGCCUGGACCGAGGAACGCGCUUCGGCACGGACGCUGGCAUAAUGGUCGUAAACGACCCGUCUUGAACCAACGGACC